GAUGAACGCUAGCGGCAGGCCUAACACAUGCAAGUCGAGGGGCAGCGGGUGUAGCAAUACAUGCCGGCGACCGGCGCACGGGUGAGUAACGCGUAUGCAACCUACCUCUAACUGGGGAAUAGCUCUGAGAAAUCGGAAUUAAUACCCCAUAAUAUUCUUUUGAGGCAUCUCAAAAGAAUUAAAGCUCUGGCGGUUAGAGAUGGGCAUGCGUGCUAUUAGCUAGUUGGUGAGGUAAUGGCUCACCAAGGCUAUGAUGGCUAGGGGGUCUGAGAGGAUGAUCCCCCACAUUGGUACUGAGACACGGACCAGACUCCUACGGGAGGCAGCAGUGAGGAAUAUUGGUCAAUGGGCGCAAGCCUGAACCAGCCAUGCCGCGUGAAGGAUGAAGGCCCUAUGGGUCGUAAACUUCUUUUGUACGGGACGAAACCCCCGAUCGUGAUCGGGGCUGACGGUACUGUACGAAUAAGCAUCGGCUAACUCCGUGCCAGCAGCCGCGGUAAUACGGAGGAUGCAAGCGUUAUCCGGAUUCAUUGGGUUUAAAGGGUGCGUAGGCGGAAUAAUAAGUCAGUGGUGAAAGCCUACAGCUUAGCUGUAGAAUUGCCAUUGAUACUGUUAUUCUUGAGUGCAGUUGAGGUAGCUGGAAUGUGUGGUGUAGCGGUGAAAUG
rnacentral:rRNA from 1 species